UGAGGAAUAUUGGGCAAUGCCCGCAAGGGUGACCCAGCAACGCCGCGUGGAGGAUGAAUGUCGUAAGAUUGUAAACUCCUGUUAGAGGGGAAGAAUAGUACCGGUUGGACCGGUAUAUGACUGUACCCUCAGAGAAAGCCCCGGCUAACUACGUGCCAGCAGCCGCGGUAAUACGUAGGGGGCAAGCGUUGUCCGGAUUUACUGGGUGUAAAGGGCGCGCAGGCGGGAUAAAAAGUCAGUGGUGAAAUCCUACAGCUUAACUGUAGAACUGCAUUUGAUACUUUUAUUCUUGAGUUCGGGAGAGAGAGACAGAAUUCCAGGUGUAGUGGUGAAAUACGUAGAUAUCUGGAAGAACACCAGUUGCGAAGGCGGUCUCUUGGUCCGACACUGACGCUGAGGCGCGAAAGCGUGGGGAGCAAACA
rnacentral:rRNA from 1 species